GAUGAAGAACGUAGCGAAAUGCGAUAAGUAAUGUGAAUUGCAGAAUUCAGUGAAUCAUCGAAUCUUUGAACGCACAUUGCGCCCGCCAGUAUUCUGGCGGGCAUGCCUGUCUGAGCGUCAUUUCAACCCUCAUGCCCCUAGGGCGUGGUGUUGGGGAUCGGCCAAAGCCCGCAAGGGACGGCCGGCCCCUAAAUCUAGUGGCGGACCCGUCGUGGCCUCCCCUGCGAAGUAGUGAUAUUCCGCAUAGGAGAAGCGACGAGCCCCUGCCGUUAAACCCCCAACUUUCUCAAGUUGACCUCAGAUCAGGUAGGAAUACCCGCUGAACUUAAGCAUAUCAAUAAGCGGAGGA
rnacentral:misc_RNA from 1 species